rnacentral:rRNA from 1 species
GACGAACGCUGGCGGCGUGCUUAACACAUGCAAGUCGAACGAAGAGCGAUGGAAGCUUGCUUCUAUCAAUCUUAGUGGCGAACGGGUGAGUAACGCGUAAUCAACCUGCCCUUCAGAGGGGGACAACAGUUGGAAAUGACUGCUAAUACCGCAUACGAUCUAAACUCGGCAUCGAGGAUAGAUGAAAGGUGGCCUCUACAUGUAAGCUAUCACUGAAGGAGGGGAUUGCGUCUGAUUAGCUAGUUGGAGGGGUAACGGCCCACCAAGGCGAUGAUCAGUAGCCGGUCUGAGAGGAUGAACGGCCACAUUGGGACUGAGACACGGCCCAGACUCCUACGGGAGGCAGCAGUGGGGAAUCUUCCGCAAUGGACGAAAGUCUGACGGAGCAACGCCGCGUGAGUGAGGACGGCCUUCGGGUUGUAAAGCUCUGUUAAUCGGGACGAAAGGCCUUCUUGCGAAUAGUGAGAAGGAUUGACGGUACCGGAAUAGAAAGCCACGGCUAACUACGUG